rnacentral:rRNA from 1 species
UAGAGUUUGAUCAUGGCUCAGGACGAACGCUGGCGGCGUGCCUAACACAUGCAAGUCGAGCGAAGUAUAUCUAAGUGAAGUUUUAGGACAGAACGAAGAUAUAUCUUAGCGGCGGACGGGUGAGUAACGCGUGAGCAACCUGCCUUUCACAAAGGGAUAGCCUCGGGAAACUGGGAUUAAUACCAUAUAAAACUUACCUUUCGCAUGAAAGGAAAGUCAAAGCGAUAAGCGGUGAAAGAUGGGCUCGCGUCCUAUUAGCUAGUUGGUGAGGUAACGGCUCACCAAGGCGACGAUAGGUAGCCGGCCUGAGAGGGUGAACGGCCACACUGGAACUGAGACACGGUCCAGACUCCUACGGGAGGCAGCAGUGGGGGAUAUUGCACAAUGGAGGAAACUCUGAUGCAGCGACGCCGCGUAAGUGAAGAAGGCCUUCGGGUCGUAAAGCUCUGUCCUAGGGGAAGAUAAUGACGGUACCCUAGGAGGAAGCCCCGGCUAACUACGUGCCAGCCGCCGCGGUAAUACA